rnacentral:rRNA from 1 species
UACGUAGGGGGCAAGCGUUGUCCGGAAUCAUUGGGCGUAAAGCGCGUGUAGGCGGUUCGAUAAGUCUGCUGUGAAAGUCCAGGGCUCAACCCUGGGAUGCCGGUGGAUACUGUCGGGCUAGAGUACGGAAGAGGGGAGUGGAAUUCCCGGUGUAGCGGUGAAAUGCGCAGAUAUCGGGAGGAACACCAAUUGCGAAGGCAGCUCGCUGGGACGUCACUGACGCUGAGACGCGAAAGCGUGGGGAGCAAACAGG